rnacentral:rRNA from 1 species
CGCCUCUUGACUUAUAAUAAGAGGUCCAGCCUGCCCAGUGAAUUUUAAACGGCCGCGGUAUCCUAACCGCGCGAAGGUAGCAUAAUCACUUGUUCUUUAAAUGGGGACUCGUAUCAACGGCAUCACGAGGGUUUUACUGUCUCCUCUUUUUGAUCAGUGAAAUUGAUCUUCCCGUGAAGAAGCGGGAAUAUUUUUAUAAGACGAGAAGACCCCAUGGAGCUUUAAACCAAAUAACAACUUAACUACUUAUCCCACAAUAAAUUUAAGCCCUGUUAUAAGGUUUUUGGUUGGGGUGACCGCGGAGUAAAACACAUCCUCCACGACGGAAAGAACAUAAUCUUUAUUUAAGAACCACACUUCUAGAAAUUAGUAUACUAACGUUUACUGACCCGACAAUCGAUCAACGGACCAAGUUACCCUGGGGAUAACAGCGCAAUCUACUUCAAGAGCUCAUAUCGACAAGUAGGCUUACGACCUCGAUGUUGGAUCAGGGUAUCCCGGUGGUGCAGCCGCUACCGAAGGUUCGUUUGUUCAACGAUUAAAACCCU